AUGCGGCGCUCAGAUUUGGUGUCCGAAUUGGAGCUCGCCAAGGACAAGAAGCAGCAGGGUGGUCGUGCCAAUGCCAUAUUCUGGAUCUUGCUGCUUAAUUUUGGACUCUAUGUUGCAGACCACUUGUUACAGAUCCGGCAGAUAAAGGCACUCUACCUGUACCAUGCAUUCCCGUCUUGGUAUGAGUUUGUGACGUCAACGUUUUGCCAUGCGAACUGGAAUCACCUUUCAAGCAAUCUGUUCUUUGUGUACAUUUUUGGAAAGCUUGUGGAAGAGGAGGAAGGUAACUUUGCACUGUGGAUGUCUUAUAUUUUGACCGGUGCUGGAGCAAACUUGAUUUCAUGGUUAGUUCUUCCAACGUCGUCUGUGUCGCUUGGAGCAUCUGGGGCUGUUUUUGGCCUUUUCACAAUUAGUGUACUAGUAAAGAUGUCCUGGGACUGGAGAAAGAUUCUUGAGGUCCUUAUCCUUGGUCAAUUUGUUGUUGACAAGGUCAUGGAAGCUGCACGUGCAACUACCAUAACAGGCGCAGCACUUCAAGUAAACAACAUUGCCCAUGUCUCGGGUGCUUUGAUUGGUGCUGCGUUAGUAUUUGUGAUCAACAGAAUCCCCUUAUCAUCUAAUGAUGAUAACCCAAAGGCUUCAAAGGAUAACAAGGACAAAAGAAGUUAA
rnacentral:rRNA from 1 species